UCCUCAACAGUUAGCCCUUCCCUCAAGAAACAACAAACCUCAUCAAUAACCCUAAACAUAGAGUAGUUAUAGACUAAAACAUUUUCCCGCCCAAGUACAGGAGAUAGAAAAGGACACAGGCGCUACAGAACAAGUACCGCAAGGGAACGCUGAAAGAGAACUGAAAGAACUCAACGAAGGACCUCAAAGCAGAGCUUAACUCUCGUACCUUUUGCAUCAUGAAUUAGCUAGUAAGCCCAAGCAAAGAGCCCUUUAUGUUUGGUACCCCGAAACCGAGUGAGCUACUUCAAGACAGCCUACCAUAGGGCAAACCCUUCUCUGUGGCAAAAGAGUGGGAAGAUCUUUAAGUAGAGGUGACAGACCUACCGAACUCGGUGAUAGCUGGUUGCCUGAGAAUAGAAUAAAAGUUCCACUUUUUAGCAUUUUCCAUCAGCUGUGAUCUUGCACAACCCGACUAAGAGAUUACUAAAAAGCAUACUCAAGCGAGGAACAGCUCUCUUGAACAAAGAUACAACUUUACCAGCAGGCUAAAGAUUAUAACACUCAAGAUGCAAUUCCCAGGUGGGCCCGAAAGCAGCCAUCCUAAAAGAAAGCGUUAAAGCUCAAGUACCUAAGUCCCUAUAUUUCAACCCCCACAUCUCACGCCCCUAAAAAUAUCAGGCCCCCCCAUGCACGCAUGGGAGUGAUUCUGCUAAUAUGAGUAAUAAGAAAGAACUAAGCCUUUCUCGAAUGCAUCAGUGUACAUCAGAACGAACCCCCACCGACAAUUAACGCCCCCACAACAGAGGGCAUUGAGUAAAUACAAAGACACCUAGAAACCCCCUCAAUCGCUAGCGUUAACCUCACACCAGCAUGCCCCACGAAAGACACAAGGAAAAAGAAGGAACUCGGCAAACACUAGCCUCGCCUGUUUACCAAAAACAUCGCCUCUUGUCCAAUAUAAGAGGUCCCGCCUGCCCUGUGACAAAAGUUUAACGGCCGCGGUAUUUUGACCGUGCAAAGGUAGCGUAAUAACUUGUCUUUUAAAUAAAGACCUGUAUGAAUGGCUAGACGAGGGCUAAGCUGUCUCCUUUUUCCAGUCAAUGAAAUUGAUCUCCCCGUGCAGAAGCGGGGAUUCAAGCAUAAGACGAGAAGACCCUAUGGAGCUUCAGACACCAGGAUAGCUCCCGUAAAAACCCUAAGUAAAUAGGACUAAACACAAGAACCUCACUACCCCCAUGUCUUUGGUUGGGGCGACCGCGGAGAAACAACAAACCCCCGCGUGGAACGGAAAACCACAUAAUCCUUAAACCCAGAGCUACAGCUCUAAGGAACAGAACAUCUGACCUUCAAGAUCCGGCACAGCCGAUCAACGGACCGAGUUACCCUAGGGAUAACAGCGCAAUCCCCUUCUAGAGCCCAUAUCGACAAGGGGGUUUACGACCUCGAUGUUGGAUCAGGACUUCCUAAUGGUGCAGCCGCUAUUAAGGGUUCGUUUGUUCAACGAUUAAAGUCCUACGUGAUCUGAGUUCAGACCGGAGUAAUCCAGGUCAGUUUCUAUCUAUGACUCCACCCUUUUCUAGUACGAAAGGACCGAAAAGGGGGGGCCCAUGCCUUAGGUAUGCCCCACCCUCACCUAGUGCUCCCCACUAAAUUGAGGUAAGACGGUAAGUCCCUACCGCCCGAGAAAAAGGCACA
rnacentral:rRNA from 1 species